GUCUAUAGCUAUACCACCCUGAAGGUGCCUGAUCUGAUCUUGGAAACUAAGCAGAGUUAGUCCUGGUUAGUAUGUGAAUGGGAGACUGCCUGGAAAUAUCAGGUGCUGUAGACU
rnacentral:rRNA from 1 species